ACAGGAGUGACACAAUCCUCAGGUGCUACAGGAGUGACACAAUCCUCAGGUGCUACAGGAGUGACACAAUCCUCAGGUGCUACAGGAGUGACACAAUCC